UGAUGAUGAUGAGGGCAAUUCCUGAGCGUCGCCUUGAAUCUUUACCAAGAGUGGUAAAGAUUCUCUCUAUCUUUUUACCUAAAACUCAGAAUCUCAUUUCUCAAACA
rfam:Capsicum annuum cultivar Zunla-1 chromosome 4, whole genome shotgun sequence